rnacentral:rRNA from 1 species
UUGUUGCUGGUCCUCGAAAGGGGGCACGUGCACGCUCCGUUUACGCAUCCACUCACACCUGUGCACCCUCUGUAGUUCUAUGGCCUCGAGGGCUCCGCCCUCUUGCCGUGGUCCUACGUCUCUACACACACACCGUAACGAAGUCUCAUGGAAUGUAUGUCGCGUUUAACGCAACACAAUACAACUUUCAGCAACGGAUCUCCUGGCUCUCGCAUCGAUGAAGAACGCAGCGAAAUGCGAUAAGUAAUGUGAAUUGCAGAAUUCAGUGAAUCAUCGAAUCUUUGAACGCACCUUGCGCCCUUUGGCUAUUCUGAAGGGCAUGCCUGUUUGAGUAUCAUGAACACCUCAACUCUCGUGGCCCGCCACGAUGAGCUUGGACUUUGGGGGUCUUGCCGGCGUACCGUCGGCUUCUCUCGAAUGAAUCAGCUUGCCAGUGUCUGGUGGCAUCACGGGUGUGAUAACUAUCUACGCUUGUGGUUUUCUGCC